AUUUGUAUUGUAUUUGCAUUUGUGUUUUAUCCACACUAAUUGAUUAUAAGUUCUAAGAGGACAGAAAUAAUUAUCCUUGUUGAUUAUAACUUAUCACAUUUCUCUAAACAUAACAGAUAAUUAGCAAUUGUUGAAUGAAUAAACAAACUCCCCUCCCAAAUACCCACCCCCCUUCUUUUCCCAGGCCAAGGAACAAUGAAUAAAACUACCUUCCCAAUCAGUUCCAUGCUUGUUUUUGACAUUGUCAUUUUGUGACUUUUUUUGUUCCUCCAAAGAAAUAGAGCUUCACAGAAAGUGACCAUCCCAUGAUGGUCACUGGGGCAGAUGAGUGCAAUUAGUACCAAAACCAUUUCAGUGAGCUUGAGAAAGCCCAUUUUAAUUUUUGAGUAGGGAAAAAAUGACAACAAAUUUAUGAAGUGAUUCCAUGUGAUAACUCAUCAGUAAGAGCACUCUGUCCAUCAAAACAUAACCUAAUACAGUUCCAAAGUGGGCCUUACUUAGUCCACAGACUGAGGAACCAUGACUGAAGAGCCCAUUUCUCAGCAGCCAAAGUGGAGGGAAACCUUUCUGAGCUUGGCUAGCUAGACCUUAGAAGAGAAUAUAAAAUGCAGUACUGAGCUCAUACUUGGAACCUUCUCAGUUCUUUUGGGCCCAUCAGAGUUUAUGCUUCACUGGAAUGAGUAUUUCCUUUGUAGCCUCCUAGAACUGCUGGAUGAUGAAGAAGAAGCCUGGCUUUAUAAAAAUAUCUUAUUAAGAAGGGCAAACCUCACAACUUUUGUCUUGCAUUUCUGCCAUCACAAGGUAAGUUCCUCUAUGCGUUAGCAUAGCUAAUGUGCAUCUUAAAAUGGCUCUGAAGCCUGGGAGACUACAUAUCCCAGAAUGCUCUACCCCAACUUCCUCAGGCACCUCCCACUUCCUGUGUGGGAGGUGUCUGAGAAGAUAUAAAAAGAAGAGAGAAGUCUUUUCUAGAGAAGAGCCUUUCUCCUGGAAGUGUCUUACUUGGACAUGAAACUGACAUUGAGGCUUGAAGGGAGGUAGAGAGUCCAAGAAGCAGAGAUGAAGAAGGAUGCCAUUCCAAGCAUGGGGGACAACUUAUGCAAUGUCAGGAAGGUGACAUGGAAAUCUGCAUGUGGAACAUUGUGUAGGAGAAAAAGUAAGGAGACUGAUGCGCCGGGGAUGUUGGGAGUAGAAUGAGGAGUAAUCCCAAAUCAGUUAGGAAUAGAUUAUAUCUAGAUGAUAAAGGACAUUAAAUGAUAAACGGAGGAGUUUGUAUUUUAUCCUAAGAGCAAUGAGGAGCUAUUGAAGCUUUUUGGGCAAGGGAGUAAUUUGGUCAGACCCAGGAGUGUUGUGAGGUUCAAACAAGGUAAUGGAUGUAAAGCACUUUGCAAACCUUAAAACCUCCUAUAAAUGACACUUAUUUUUGUUGUUAUUGUUAGCCACCAGUUUCCUAAUGCUUCUUAAUUUUAGUGCCUCACUUCUCUUAUUUAUUUUCUAUUUAUCUUGUACGUAGCUUGUUUGUACAUAUUCACAUGUUUUCUCCCUAUUAGAUUAUGAGCUCCUUGAGAGCAAGGAUUGUCUUUUACCUCUUUCUGUGUCUUCAGUGCUUUAGCAUCGUGACUAGCACAUAGUAGGCUCUUAAUUGAUGUUUAUUGACUGACUUCAUUUCUCUAGUCUUCUGCUGCACUCCUGCUAAACUCAAGUAAUGUUUAUAGACCAAUACAGGCCUGGGGAGGGGAAGAUAUAAGCACACACAAUUCUAAGUUUAAUUUAUUUUAUUAACACUUUCCUAAGUCUAGACAACCCACAAAGCAACAAAUUAACCCUUGAUGUAUAGUUAAAUUUCUGAAAUGUCAAUACACUGAAAAUUUGAGCUGACUCCAGCACACCUCCAAAAACCUGUCUUUUAGAAAUAUUAGCUUCCUAGUUGUAUGGAGAAUGGAUGGAUAUGGGGAAGAGAUUGGAGGAAGAGAGAACAAUUGAGAAUCUAUUGUAAUAGUUUGAGUCAGAG
rnacentral:lncRNA from 1 species